rnacentral:rRNA from 1 species
GUCUACGACUAUGCCAUCCUGAACAAGCCGGAUCCCAUCUGAUCUCGGAAGCUAAGCAGGGUUGGGCCUCGUCAGUACUUGAAUGAGAGACUACCUAGGAAGACCAGGUGCUGUAGGCA